CGGCGCACGGGUGCGUAACGCGUAUGCAAUCUACCUUUCACAGAGGGAUAGCCCAGAGAAAUUUGGAUUAAUACCUCAUAGUAUUAUGAAGUGGCAUCACUUUAUAAUUAAAGUCACAACGGUGAAAGAUGAGCAUGCGUCCCAUUAGCUAGUUGGUAUGGUAACGGCAUACCAAGGCGACGAUGGGUAGGGGUCCUGAGAGGGAGAUCCCCCACACUGGUACUGAGACACGGACCAGACUCCUACGGGAGGCAGCAGUGAGGAAUAUUGGACAAUGGGCGCAAGCCUGAUCCAGCCAUGCCGCGUGCAGGAUGACGGUCCUAUGGAUUGUAAACUGCUUUUGUACAGGAAGAAACACUCCUACGUGUAGGAACUUGACGGUACUGUAAGAAUAAGGAUCGGCUAACUCCGUGCCAGCAGCCGCGGUAAUACGGAGGAUCCAAGCGUUAUCCGGAAUCAUUGGGUUUAAAGGGUCCGUAGGCGGUCUUAUAAGUCAGUGGUGAAAUCUCCCCGCUCAACGGGGAAACGGCCAUUGAUACUGUAGGACUUGAAUUAUUAGGAAGUAACUAG
rnacentral:rRNA from 1 species